UUGACCCUACGGGGGGCAGCAGUGAGGAAUAUUGGUCAAUGGGCGCGAGCCUGAACCAGCCAAGUCGCGUGAGAGAAGACGGCCCUAUGGAUUGUAAACCUCUUUUGUCGGGGAGCAAAAGACGCCACGCGUGGCGUUCCGAGAGUACCCGCAGAAAAAGCAUCGGCUAACUCCGUGCCAGCAGCCGCGGUAAUACGGAGGAUGCGAGCGUUCUCCGGAUUUAUUAGGUUUAAAGGGUGCGCAGGCGGAAGAUCAAGUCAGCGGUAAAAUUGAGAGGCUCAACCGCUUAG
rnacentral:rRNA from 1 species